rnacentral:rRNA from 1 species
GGGUACGAUCAUACUACCACUAAUGCACUGGAUCCCAUCAGAACUCCGCAAUUAAGCGUUCUUUGGGCGACAGUAUUACUAGGAUAGGUGAAGUCCUCGUGUUGCACCCU